rnacentral:rRNA from 2 species
GGAGGAAAAGAAACCAACAGGGAUUGCCCUAGUAACGGCGAGUGAAGCGGCAACAGCUCAAAUUUGAAAUCUGGCGCAAGCCCGAGUUGUAAUUUGUAGAGGAUGCUUCUAGGCAGCGACCGGUCUAAGUUUCUUGGAACAGGACGUCAUAGAGGGUGAGAAUCCCGUAUGUGACUGGUUGGCACCUUAUACGUAGCUCCUUCGACGAGUCGAGUUGUUUGGGAAUGCAGCUCUAAAUGGGUGGUAAAUUUCAUCUAAAGCUAAAUACCGGCCAGAGACCGAUAGCGCACAAGUAGAGUGAUCGAAAGAUGAAAAGCACUUUGGAAAGAGAGUUAAAAAGCACGUGAAAUUGUUGAAAGGGAAGCGCUUGCAACCAGACUUGUUAACGGUGUUCCGCCGGUCUUCUGACCGGUCCACUCGCCGUCUGCAGGCCAGCAUCGUCUGGGGCCGCCGGAUAAAGACGUAAGGAAUGUAGCUCCCCUCGGGGUGUGUUAUAGCCCUACGUGCAAUACGGCGUGACCCGGGCGAGGUCCGCGCUUCGGCUAGGAUGCUGGCGUAAUGGUCGUAAGCGGCCCGUCUUGAAACACGGACCAAGGAGUCUAACAUCUAUGCGAGUGUUCGGGUGUCAAACCCUUGCGCGUAAUGAAAGUGAACGGAGGCGAGAACUUAGGUGCAUCGUCGACCGAUCCUGAUGUCUUCGGAUGGAUUUGAGUAAGAGCAUAGCUGUUGGGACCCGAAAGAUGGUGAACUAUGCCUGAAUAGGGUGAAGCCAGAGGAAACUCUGGUGGAGGCUCGCAGCGGUUCUGACGUGCAAAUCGAUCGUCAAAUUUGGGUAUAGGGGCGAAAGACUAAUCG